AUCUGCUACUACAUCCGCUGUUUCUUUUGGUAGUG
rnacentral:antisense_RNA from 1 species